AGUCUUGUAUAUUUGUGCUGAGAUUUCGUCACACACCAGACCACAAAGGCUGAUGUGACUCCCAAGAUAAUUGGAGUG
rnacentral:pre_miRNA from 1 species